ACUGGCAGACUAUUGCAAAAAGGGCACGGGGCAGAGGGACUAUGUUGUGAGCCUGCGAAAGAAGUUUGUGUGGGGACUGUGGGCAGUGAACGCGUUGGGAACAAUAUGGAAAACUGGGAGCCGCCUUGGAAUCUACAGGGCCGGAGAGACCGAGGGGCUCACUAGGUUGACCAGGCUGGUCUUGAACUCCUGGCCUCAAGCCAUCCUCCCACCUCAGCCUCCCAAAGUGCUGGGAUUACAUGCAUGAGCCACCACAUCCAGCCUACCUAAAAUAUUGAAUGCUGUUAAUAAAUCUCCUGAGGCCAGCAUAAGAAGGUGAUGGGCAAAACUAAUGCAGGUCAUCCUCCGAAUGAAUUUAUAUUACCGAGUGGAGGGUCACAUGAAGAAAAUGGUCAAACAGCACCACCUACAGCAAGAGCUGA
rnacentral:lncRNA from 1 species